rnacentral:rRNA from 1 species
CCUACGGGCGGCAGCAGUGAGGAAUCUUGGGCAAUGGACGAGAGUCUGAACCAGCCAAGUAGCGUGAAGGAUGACUGCCCUAUGGGUUUAAAACUUCGUUUAUAGAGGAAUAAAACGAGGCACGUGUGCCUUUUUGCAUGUACUUUAUGAAUAAGGAUCGGCUAACCCCGUGCCAGCAGCCGCGGUAAUACGGAGGAUCCGAGCGUUAUCCGGAUUUAUUGGGUUUAAAGGGAGCGUAGAUGGGUUGUUAAGUCAGUUGUGAAAGUUUGCGGCUCAACCGUAAAAUUGCAAUUGAUACUGGCAGUCUUGAGUGCAGAUGAGGUAGGCGGAAUUCGAGGUGUAGCGGUGAAAUGCUUAGAUAUCACGAAGAACCCCGAUUGCGAAGGCAGCUUACUAAACUGUGACUGACAUUGAUGCUCGAAAGUGUGGGUAUCAAACAGGAUUAGAUACCCCAGUAGUC